rnacentral:rRNA from 1 species
UGGGGAAUAUUGGACAAUGGGCGCAAGCCUGAUCCAGCAAUACCGCGUGUGUGAAGAAGGCCUGAGGGUUGUAAAGCACUUUCAGCGAGGAGGAAGGGUAUAUGGUUAAUACCCAUAUAUUUUGACGUUACUCGCAGAAGAAGCACCGGCUAACUCUGUGCCAGCAGCCGCGGUAAUACAGAGGGUGCAAGCGUUAAUCGGAAUUACUGGGCGUAAAGAGUGCGUAGGCGGAUACUUAAGUCAUGUGUGAAAGCCCUGGGCUCAACCUAGGAAUUGCAUCUGAAACUGGGUAUCUAGAGUAUGGUAGAGGACAGUGGAAUUUCUGGUGUAGCGGUGAAAUGCGUAGAUAUCAGAAGGAACAUCAGUGGCGAAGGCGACUGUCUGGGCCAAUACUGACGCUGAGGUACGAAAGCGUGGGUAGCGAACAGGAUUAGAUACCCCCGUAGUCC